UUUUAUUUAUUCUAUGUUUUUGUACUUUUUCUUUUGGCUCUUUACAUUUUUCAAAUAUUUUGAAUAUUUUUUUUUUCCAUUAAAAUGAAAAGAAUGGAAAGAAAUGGAAAGAAAUGGAAAAAUGGACGAAUGAAUUUGAGGAUUUCAGAGUUCCUCCAGAAAACAAGUCAGACAGGAGGAGACACAGAGGCUGGAUCUGUUGGACUGACAGUUUUCUGAGUGCUUCUUGUUGGUUUUUUGAUCUACAGUAAACAUAAAUAACAGAGUCAGGAUUUAUUCCAGUCUCCCAGUCAAAUCCAGCAGGUGAGGUUUAUAAACCAAACGGUGUUUCCCUCCCGGUGUCUGUGGAUUUACCCGCUUGGUCAGCAGUGCUGUUUCCAGCACAAAGACAAAGAAGUUUAAUGUGUGUGUCAG
ensembl:lncRNA